rnacentral:rRNA from 1 species
GACGAACGCUGGCGGCGUGCUUAACACAUGCAAGUCGAACGGAAAGGCCCUGCUUUUGUGGGGUGCUCGAGUGGCGAACGGGUGAGUAACACGUGAGUAACCUGCCCUUGACUUUGGGAUAACUUCAGGAAACUGGGGCUAAUACCAGAUAGGAGCUCCUGCUGCAUGGUGGGGGUUGGAAAGUUUCGGCGGUUGGGGAUGGACUCGCGGCUUAUCAGCUUGUUGGUGGGGUAGUGGCUUACCAAGGCUUUGACGGGUAGCCGGCCUGAGAGGGUGACCGGCCACAUUGGGACUGAGAUACGGCCCAGACUCCUACGGGAGGCAGCAGUGGGGAAUAUUGCACAAUGGGCGGAAGCCUGAUGCAGCAACGCCGCGUGCGGGAUGACGGCCUUCGGGCUGUAAACCGCUUUCGCCUGUGACGAAGCGUGAGUGACGGUAAUGGGUAAAGAAGCACCGGCUAACUACGUG